GAGUUUGAUCAUGGCUCAGAUUGAACGCUGGCGGCAUGCUUUACACAUGCAAGUCGAGCGGCAGCGCGGGGGCAACCCUGGCGGCGAGCGGCGAACGGGUGAGUAAUGCAUCGGAACGUGUCCUGGAGUGGGGGAUAACCCGGCGAAAGCCGGGCUAAUACCGCAUACGCUCUAUGGAGGAAAGCGGGGGAUCCGCAAGGACCUCGCGCUCGCGGAGCGGCCGAUGCCCGAUUAGCUUGUUGGUGAGGUAAAGGCUUACCAAGGCGACGAUCGGUAGCUGGUCUGAGAGGAUGAUCAGCCACACUGGGACUGAGACACGGCCCAGACUCCUACGGGAGGCAGCAGUGGGGAAUUUUGGACAAUGGGGGCAACCCUGAUCCAGCCAUGCCGCGUGCGGGAAGAAGGCCU
rnacentral:rRNA from 1 species